UUCAACACAUGCAAGUCGAACGGAACCUUUUGGGGUUUAGUGGCGGACGGGUGAGUAACGCGUGAGAAUCUGGCUUCAGGUCUGGGACAACAGUUGGAAACGACUGCUAAUACCGGAUGUGCCUUUGGGUAAAAGGCUUGCUGCCUGAAGAUGAGCUCGCGUCCGAUUAGUUAGUUGGUGUGGUAAGAGCGCACCAAGACGGCGAUCGGUAGCUGGUCUGAGAGGACGACCAGCCACACUGGAACUGAGACACGGUCCAGACUCCUACGGGAGGCAGCAGUGGGGAAUUUUCCGCAAUGGGCGAAAGCCUGACGGAGCAAUACCGCGUGAGGGAGGAAGGCUCUUGGGUUGUAAACCUCUUUUCUCAGGGAAUAAAAACAUGAAGGUACCUGAGGAAUCAGCAUCGGCUAACUCCGUGCCAGCAGCCGCGGUAAUACGGAGGAUGCAAGCGUUAUCCGGAAUGAUUGGGCGUAAAGGGUCCGCAGGUGGUCACUCAAGUCGGCUGUCAAAGCGUCUGGCUCAACUAGAUAAAGGCAGUGGAAACUGAGAGACUGGAGUAUGGUAGGGGUAGAGGGAAUUCCCGGUGUAGCGGUGAAAUGCGUAGAGAUCGGGAAGAACACCGGUGGGGAAAGCGCUCUGCUGGACCAAAACUGACACUGACUUGACGAGAGCUAGGGGAGCGAAUGGGAUUAGAUACCCCAGUAGUCCUAGCCGUAAACG
rnacentral:rRNA from 1 species